CUUUAGUGGUGUGUAAACAUUUUAUCAUUCCAAAAUGGUGACUCUUUCCUUGGGCCAGUUUAUUAAUCCAGCACCUAUCUGAUGCAUGGACCAUUCUGGACCACUCCACAUCUACCCCUCACUGCCCUCCUGCUCCAUAUCCCCACUGCUUGAAAGUAUCAGCCUCUGAUCCAGUUACUGGAUCUUUUAAAUCCUUCUCCUUCCCCAAGCACAGUGUAAGACUGACUUCCAUGUUUUUCCUCUUUGGGAUACUUUUCCUCUUUGGGUUUGUGGGGAAGGAAUGUGAAAGCUGCCAUUAUAGAUAAGAGGCUCCAGGGGUGAGGACAACACUGCCUUUCAAAUGUUUUACCAAUCUCACAUUUUAAGAACCAUUGAGUUAUAUAGUUUCUACUAAAAGGGAAGGUAAGAUGGAUAAUCACUUUCUCAUUGGAUUCUCAAUUGGAGACAAGAUUUUAUGGAACUCUUUUAUGCCAUGCAUAGAUUCCCCCCCCGCCCCCGUUUUUGGUUUAUUUUUAUUUUUAUAAAUUCAUUCUUUCUUUGACUCCUUGUCUGCCUGCCUUUGAGGAUAGGUUUGUUGUUGUUGUUGUUUCUUUCUUACUUGUGUUUUGUUUUAAAUAUCUUUUUCUGACUUACAUGAUAGUGGGAGAGGGAAAGUGAGAUCAGAAGUUAAGGACUUUGGUGUAAGCAGUCAGUUGUGAUGUUCAGUCCAUUAUAUCAUUGUUAAAUUUGCCAGUUUGUAAUUCUUGCAUAGAAAAGAACCAAAGGUGUGGUGUCGUGUUGGCACAUGGUUUGGGGAAGUGGGCCUUAACCAAUACAUUGAGUGAUGACUCUUUGGGAGGAGACAUUUAUAUGUCCCAAGGCCCCCACCAAUAACUGUUUGGUUUCAACUUCUUUGUGUAAAUUUCUCUUAAAAGUGAUAUUUUAUCUGUGUGUAUGAGAAACCCAAUAACCAAUAAAAUGACUGCAUAUUCCUGACUAUACAUGGUAAGGAAAGUGCACGCUUUGUUUUUGCUUUUCAAAGUUUCAUUCUAAAAGUAGUUAAGGUGAAAUUUAUAUGAAAGCAUUUUUAUCACAAAAUAAAAAGGUUACAUGUCAAGC
rnacentral:lncRNA from 1 species